CAUGAUUAACUUUAAGUUAGGAUUGUAUAGAGGGUAGUCGCAGUCGCCCCAACUCCGAUUUGAAGCUAUAGAUUAUAUUUGUAGUUUCAAGUAAGGUGAGAAGCAACUAUUAGGUUGGAAACUUUAAUUUUAUCGAGAAAUUAAGGAACUGU
rnacentral:sRNA from 12 species